rnacentral:rRNA from 1 species
UACGUAGGGGCGAGCGUUAUCCGGAAUUAUUGGGCGUAAAGGGUUCGCAGGCGGCCUUGUAAGUCAGAUGUGAAAGACAGCGGCUUAACCGUUGUAAGCAUUUGAAACUGCAGGGCUUGAGUACAGGAGAGGAAAGCGGAAUUCCUAGUGUAGCGGUGAAAUGCGUAGAUAUUAGGAGGAACACCAGUGGCGAAGGCGGCUUUCUGGACUGAUACUGACGCUGAGGAACGAAAGCGUGGGGAGCAAACAGGAUUAGAUACCCCGGUAGUCCCUGAG